UACGAAGGGGGGCUAGCGUUGUUCGGAAUUACUGGGCGUAAAGGGCUCGUAGGCGGCCAACUAAGUCGGACGUGAAAUCCCCAGGCUCAACCUGGGAACUGCGUCCGAUACUGGAUGGCUUGAAUCCGGGAGAGGGAUGCAGAAUUCCAGGUGUAGCGGUGAAAUGCGUAGAUAUCUGGAGGAAUACCGGUGGCGAAGGCGGCAUCCUGGACCGGCAUUGACGCUGAGGAGCGAAAGCCAGGGGAGCAAACGGG
rnacentral:rRNA from 1 species